rnacentral:tRNA from 1 species
GACCGCGUAGCUCAGUUGGCAGAGCAUUGGCUAGUAUUCCAAACUCCAAAGGUCGUAGGUUCGAUUCCCACCGUGGCCA